rnacentral:rRNA from 1 species
UACGUAGGGUGCGAGCGUUGUCCGGAAUUAUUGGGCGUAAAGAGCUCGUAGGCGGCUCGGUAAGUCAACUGUGAAAGCUCCGGGCUCAACUCGGAGAGGCCAGUUGAUACUGCCGUGGCUAGAGUCCGGUAGGGGAGCAUGGAAUUCCUGGUGUAGCGGUGAAAUGCGCAGAUAUCAGGAGGAACACCAGUGGCGAAGGCGGUGCUCUGGGCCGGAACUGACGCUGAGGAGCGAAAGCGUGGGUAGCAAACAGG